UGACCUCAAAUCAGGUAGGACUACCCGCUGAACUUAAGCAUAUCAAUAAGCGGAGGAAAAGAAACUAACAAGGAUUCCCCUAGUAACUGCGAGUGAAGCGGGAAAAGCUCAAAUUUAAAAUCUGGCGGUCUUUUGGCUGUCCGAGUUGUAAUCUAGAGAAGUGUUAUCCGCGCUGGACCGUGUACAAGUCUCCUGGAAUGGAGCAUCAUAGAGGGUGAGAAUCCCGUCUUUGACAUGGACUGCCAGGGCUUUUGUGAUGCGCUCUCAAAGAGUCGAGUUGUUUGGGAAUGCAGCUCAAAAUGGGUGGUAAAUUCCAUCUAAAGCUAAAUAUUGGCGAGAGACCGAUAGCGAACAAGUACCGUGAGGGAAAGAUGAAAAGAACUUUGGAAAGAGAGUUAAACAGUACGUGAAAUUGCUGAAAGGGAAACGCUUGAAGUCAGUCGCGUCAUCCAGGGAUCAACCUUGCUUUUGCUUGGUGCACUUCCUGGUUUGAUGGGUCAGCAUCAAUUUUGGCCGCUGGAAAAAGGCUGAGGGAAUGUGGCAUCUUCGGAUGUGUUAUAGCCCUUAGUCACAUACAGUGGCUGGGAUUGAGGAACUCAGCACGCCGCAAGGCCGGGUUUUAAACCACGUACGUG
rnacentral:rRNA from 1 species